CGGAAAAUACUUGAGGAAAAGCUAGCAUUAUAUGUUCGUGAUUUUUCUGAGAUCGAUUCUUCUGAGGUAAAUAUAUAUAAAUGAAGUAAUAUUGAUUAAUAAAAAAUUAAGUUCUAAAGUGUAGGAAAGUGUGCAUCUUUAGUUAACAUUUCUAGAACUAUAGAGAUAUGGGAGCAGAAAAUUCCUCAUUCUUAUUUUGAGAGCUACAGAGCUUUUUGACAAAUAGUCUGCAAGUAUUUCAUCUUUCAUAAAGUGAUGCCUUAGAGAAAAAUGUUGUAGCCUGCCAAAUAGGAUGGCAUCCAUCUUUUCUCAUUCAACCUUUUUAUAAUUCCAUUGUAUAGCUGCCUCGUUCGAAGGCUUUUUCAUUGUAUGAUGUCCUUUAAUCUCAUCUGGUUGUGUAGGUCUCAGUCACUUUCUUAUAAACUGCAUGGUAAAGUGACUCCUUGUGGUCACUAACAAUACACAAAUUUGAUGUGGGGAUAGACAAAACUUCUGAAUAAGAAUGGGAAAGGUAGAAGUAUGCAUUUUUCUUGAUACUUAUUAGUUAUCACUAUUAAAUAUGUGCCAAUGCCCUUUAUGCAAAAAUUGUGGAGAACCGAUGAAUCGCCUCUUCUGGUAAUCUCCUAAUGUAUGGGGAUGUUUUGAUUGCAUGUCUUUUCGAACUAGAUAUAUAUAUAGACACACACUGCUCACUACACCAUGUUUGGAAUGUUCAUAUUACAUUUUACUAAACAUUACAAUUUGGUUUCUCUAUUUAUUAUUUAGGGCAGAAGACGCUCACCUCAUCUACACGAGUCACAAGUAGAUCCACCAACCACACGUUGUCUUUUAAAGAAUUUCAAGCAAAGAAAUGUGGCACUUGAAAAUAUAUGUACAAAUGUGACGACUCCUUCUCAAGAUUCAUAUAACAUAAGACUUGAUGAAGUGUUCGAUCAUACCGCAGAGUUGUAUGUUGGAGAGGGAACGCUCGGUGAUGCUUCAGUUGGUGACAUAAUCACAUGGCCCAAGAAUUUCGUAGGAUUUGUUUGACUGGAUUCUUAUGGUAUCUAAUGGUAGUGAUUGAUGAAUGAUGUCAAUGGUCUGGAGAAAGUGAAUAGGCAACCUGGUUGCAUUACUGAAGUUUUUGUACAUUUUGCUUGAUGUCAAUCUCAUAUGCAGUUAUGUUCUUUUUGUUCAUAUGGAGAGUGAUACAACAUGACUUUAAUAUUUAUAAAAAAUUUAUCACUG
rnacentral:lncRNA from 1 species